AAUAUUUCUCUUGAUUAUAAGGAUACUUUGAGUGUAGCUUUUUGUGCAAAAUUUUCUCUGAAUAAUAUCCAAUAUUCCAAUCAAAUCCAGUUUCUACUAAGGUAAAAAAUAUUAUUUUAUUGCAAUACUCGUAAGAAAUAUUAUUUUCUUUCAUACUCCAUAUUAUUUAAGAGAUAUUAUUUCAUUUCAUAUUCCUAAAUUUAAACUUACUAUGGUAAGUAUUGCUUCUAUAAUUCCUGAAACGAUUAGAAAUUUCUUAAGUUUUGCGCUUCAUCUAAUAUCAUUUUACUGGAAUAUUGGUCUGAACUUUCUUAUUAAAUUUUAAACUUUUCAUGUAUGGAUACUAUUCAUACGGUACUAUUCAUGGACACUAUUCAUAUGGUACUAUUCAUACAUAUAGUACUAUUCAUACGGUACUAUUCAGUAGUACUAUUUAUAAUACAAUUAAGUGUUAAGUUCAGAUGACCACUUGAGGUUUGAGCGAUUUCCCACUUAACCACUUGUAGUCAGUAAAGCUACAUUUAAACUCUCGAUUUUUUAAGUUGAAGUGAAUAACUUCUUUCUGUCUUAACUUUGUUAUUUAAGUUGGAUAAAGACUUAAUUACCCUCCUUAUAUAUAAACAACAGACUUAAUUGUGCCCGAGAAGAAUACAGAACUGCUUGGUACUAAAUGAAGGAGAUUUCUUAUGUUGUAUACAAUUAAACUAAUUUAGACCAACAUCAGGUCCGCCAUUCAUUCAUCCUGAAAAAAUGGUGCUAAAUUACAGCAUUAAUUUAUUAUAGCAACUGACAGAAUAACAUGUUGUGACGCCCAUACUUUUAUUUGGUAUGAGAUGGAGAAGAUGAGACAUUGAAUCCCCCUCCCCCUCUUAUGAAGAAAAAACUUAAGCUAAUCUUGAGUAAUAUUCGGUCCAUCAUUCAUAAUCCUGAAAAAGAUCUGGUGCUAAAAUUUAACAUUCAUUUAUAAAUCAAAGGACUCAACAAAAUGUGGUGACCUGCAUCACAAACACUAAAAGCAGUUUCCAAUUGUCUGGCUCAACUCAUAAACCAAAAUCCCAAAAUAAAUUAUAUUUUGGUCUCUAAGAUGUCAAAUGAUGUUCAACAAAUAAGCAUCAAUAAUAUUGAUACAAACAAGAAAAGUAAUAAAGACCCUAGUGAAACAUAUUUUCGAGCUCCUAGUUUAACUUUGAGUUCUGCAGAAUAUAUUAUAGCCAUAAAAGCUGAGGUAACAUAAACAUACACCAUAAUGAUAAACAUUUCAUUUCCAAAAGAUGCAUUGUGUAUCCUUCUACAAUUUACUACAAAUCCUCCAGUGAAUGAUACUUAGAACUAAAAGAAAGAAAAAGAAAAGCAAAACUUCCAUAAACUCAUUCCGAAAAAAAGACCAAUUUUCAACCCCCCCAAGGCAGGAUGUAUGAAAGAACCAUAAGAGCUGCUCGGAUGGCUUUCAAGUACAGGUAUGGUGCUUUCUACAACAACAAAAAAACAAUUAUGUGCCAUAAACAAGCAGAUAAGCCCUCAAGAAGUUUGGUUCCCGUUCCACAGAACAAUGUUUGAUAGUUUGUUCUCCACUAGUUUUGCCUUCAUCAUACAUCCCCCUCCCCAAAAGGGCCCUAAUGACUUCAACUUCGCACUGCCAAAAUAAGGUUGUAAACUCUGUAAAUCAAGCAUAACAAAGUUUUUAAAAAGCCCUCUAAACUUCUUUUGGAAAAUAUGUCAUCUAAUAGGGAAAUCCAAAUAACAUACACAAGGAAUAUAAUGCCACUCACCAGCUAAUAACAUUGAGAAAGAGGAGAUAUUUCCCGCACUAGUUUUCCUUCUCUUAGACUUUGUAUUUUGCCAAUCAGUGUUCAAGGAAAUUGUUUUCCCAUCAACCACUACUUUAUUAAGCUCCGUCAUUUCCCCUGUUCCCUCACUUUCUCUACGCUUCUUGGUAUUACUGUAGAAUUGUUCCACAAACUCAGAUGGUUGCAAUAGCUUUUUUUUAGCUUAUAUGUACAAAAAGAAAUUAAAUUCCAUUGACACGACAAAGUUUAGAAGGCACCUGUCAGCCUGCAACCCUUCUUCUGAAUUUGCAUGCAGCCAGCUUUAAUUCCCCAUGCACAUCAAUCUUUAAAACUUUUGGAUAUCCAGUUCCUUUAGAAAAACAGAAGUAAGAAAAAUCAACACAGUACAAUGCAACAACCAAUAACAACCAAUCAACACAGUACCCUUAUAAUACUUCCAUCAAAAUUUUAAUUUUUAGUCAAAACAGUUAAUUGGAGCAUUUUAACAAGCACCUUAUGUGCACAAUUUAAAACACCCUUUUCAUAGCUAUUGAUUUGUUCUAAAAUCCCAGUUUAGCUCCCUUAUUACUCCACACAACCAAGCCUAAUCUCCUCUGUUCUAUUCCAAUCCAUAGCAGUUUGUUUCACAGUCAAAUAUAUGUAUAUUCAAAUAAUUGACAAUCUAAUUAGCUCAUUUUCUUCAUAAAAUGCAAUUCUUUUGAUAAACACAUAAAGAUUAGUUUUGAAUACUUCAAUUUAUGUAUUUCCACGCCCUUUCAAUAGAAAAGCUCAAAUUCUUCUCUAGAUGAAAAAAGUAACUUUAUGAGAUAAGAGAGAAAAAUACAGACGGGUCCCGGAUAACAAGACCUCCAUAGCACAAUAGAGAAGGAACAAAAAAAAACAGGAAGGAAAAACAACUCAGAUUGCUAAUCACCAGCACCUAUAUCAAUAGAAGAUUCUUAUACGAAAUGUCAUCUUUCAAGGAAGUCCUUAGCAUUUUCAUUCCAGUAUUUGCAUAUUGCAAUUAGAGUUUGAGACAAAGCAUCAAUACCUCAUAAGCCGCAAGAAUUUGAACGAAUCGUUGAGCUACGGAUGAAUCAUUUGGCGAUUGAGCAAGGUCAGGGUGGGUUUCUUUAGCCAAUUUCCGAAAAGACAAUUUAAUCUCGGCAAAUGAGCUGGACUCGGAGACUCUUAAGAGGUCAUAGGCGCUUUUUCUGGCGAAUUCCGGCGGAGUCGAUUCAGUGCGAGUACAAAGCAACUGCUUUCCACUGUAGGUGGGGUAUAGGCACAUGAGAAAGAGGCCAUGGACGGAUCGCGCCGGGAUAAGCCAGGGAUGCGCCCUCAAGCUAUCGACGUUCAUCAAUAUUUGCUACUCUGUUCGUCUCUCUCUCUCGUACAGAAUGAGGAAGAAGAUGGUAUUUUGGAUAUUUAUUAUUUUUUUUUUGACCGUUACAGUUCUUCUCACGCGCUUUUGACGUGUGAUAUACACGCACAGUUAACUUGAAUGGAAAAGGUGACGUUUUUACUCCAAUUCAAAAAGUUGAGAGUUUAAAUGUAGCUUUACUGACUACAGGUGGUUAAAUGGAAAAUCGCUCAAACCCCAGGUGGUCAUCUGAACUUAACCCUAGAAUUAAAAAAAAAAUUCUGUCUAAAUUAUUUUUAAUACAUGAAUAUUAUUUUUGAAUUUUACUUCACAAAUAGUUAUCAUGUUGACAAUUUGAAUAUUUUUGAACUCUGGAUAAAUUGAAUUAUAAAUAUCCAAUAUUUAUCUUUUAUCUCACUUGAUUGAAUCUUUAUAUCAUUAUCAUCAUCCUCAUGUUUAUAUUGUGUUAAAAAUCAUAUUUGGUUUGUAGUGUAAAGAUGGACUAUUGAUUGGUAUGAUUAUAAUCAGAAAUUGUGUAUUGGUAUAAUCAUAAUCUUUAAUGUUAUAGAUAAGGUUUAUGGUAAAAGUCCUCUUUGGCCCUUAGUGCAUAGAUGGACAAAUGUUUGGCAUGAUCAUGACCACUGGUGAUACUAACGAAUAUCCUUUGGCCCGUAGUGCAUGGAUAAUUCGUUGAUUUGAAAUAUUUAUUGAAUAAUGUUAUUCGGAUAAAAUAUUGAUAAUGAACUUUUAAAUCAUACAAGAUAGUAGAUAUCAUGCUCUACUUAACUCUUCUAAUGGAUUGUUGUUUCCGUUGCAAUUGUAUUUUAAAACUUGUUAUCUAUUGUAUUCUAUCAGAUUUUUUCCUGUUGAGAACUAAGGAUAAUUUGUUCUACAUUAUCUUAGUCAUAAUAUUCUUUACUGGGCUAGUUGAGCUCAUUAUUUUCCUUUUGGUUCUAUUUUUCUUCCUAGGAGGCGAUAAUGUAGCUGAGAUUAGUCGGGGAGUGGAGUGAUGGUUCAAGAUGGUUAUUAUAGCAGUCCUCACUAUUUUUUAAAAUAGUGUAACAAUAAUUGUAAUGAGG
rnacentral:lncRNA from 1 species